AAAUUGAAAGCGCUCUAUCUUCAAUUCUUUGGCCAAUUACCUCAAUCGGCUAGAUGUACUUUAUAUUUUGCAUUACUUUUUCAGACCUUAAAGCCAAUGAUAGCCAUUUCUCACCUACACCAAACUCUUAGGAUGGGGCUUUUAUUCUGGUUUGAAAGUGAAUUUAGCAAUGGUUCAGCGAAAGCUUUCUCCUUUGAUUGAGGUUCUUGUCUUGAAGUUCAUUUCGAAUUAUCCAAGCUUAACAAACUACUUUAGGAGUCAUAAGGAGGCACCAGGAUUUUGAAUAACUUGUUUUGGCAAUGAUUGAUAAGCAUUAUAUUAGUAGUUGUGUCAAAACUCUCCUUUCAAUGUAUUUUCUCACUUCUUUGUCCAUUCAAACAUGUUUCCUCCAUCUUAAUUGCUCUUUCUUGCGCAUGCGCAGCUGAACUGCCACCCAAUCUGUUUAAGUCUGCCUCUAGCACAAUGUUCAUGCCAUUAUGGAAAACAAGGUUUUUUGGACAGGCUGGUUAGGGAUAUUAAAGCCCUGUUUGUCUAACAUUAUUUUAUAACUUUUUUUUCCUUUAAACUCAAUUUCAACCACACAUUCUCCCAAUAAAAUGUUUUGCAUGUAAACUAAAUAUUUUUUUCCUACUUUUAAGCCAUGCAUUCUCCAAAAAUUUAACAUUUUAGAAAUCAUUUUCCUACUUUAAUAGUAGACAAACGGGGGCUAAGUUUGUUCAUUGAUGAUAGAAAUGUAAGGCAAGAGGUGUGAGAAGUCUUAUGUUAAAUAACAAAUAACAAAUUUAACUCCGAGCCUAUGGGAGAAGUCCUUUGUUUUUUGGUUUUAUGCAUGUGUAUUAUUUAAUUUUGUUUUGUGUGCUUGACCUUAUUUUCUUUUGUGUGUGAGGCAUUCAUUUUUGAAAAAAUAAAUAAGAAAAAUAAUAAAAAAAUAACAAAAUAAUUGGUUAUAGAAAAUCCCUACAGCAUGAGAUAUAAUGCUUACAUGUUGUGAUCAUGUACGAGCUAAAAUUGAUAAGCUGUAGCAAAAUUUUCAUUACUUGUUUAGGUCAUUUUAGAUUUCUUAGUAUAGGAGUUUUCAUGUACUAUCUGCACUGCACACUAUGAAUUUGUUAGUAUGACUCUAUCGUAUGUGUGAACUGGUACAUAUUAAUAGAGUGAUUUCGAACAUGAAUUGACCAAAUUUAGUAGACCUAAGCCCAACAAAAUUCUCCUUAUGUAAAAGUUCAUUAUCUUAAUGUUCUUCUUCAAAGCCUAUUCGAUUCAAGUAAUUAAGCUUGCGGGGUCUCUUAAAAUGUAGUGAUGUAGUGUAUAUGGUCAACUAAUUUGGGUUAACCCACCUAAAGCUCGCCACAAGGUCAUUUCAGUCUCCUAAUGGAAAAGAACUUGCACUUAGGAUAAAAAAAAAAAAAUGAGCUUGAAAAAUGUGAAAAAUAUGAUAAGCUAGAAAAAUGUGAAAAUUGAAAAUUUUAAAGGCUCAUAGGAAGGAGGAGAAAAUAAAAAAUAAUAAUAAUACGUAUAGGUCCUACUGCACUUUCAUGGUUUGGCUUUCAUUAGUAGGAAAAUAUACUUAUUGACAGUAAUUGGCAUGUCAUUUCUCACAAAAUUAAGGUUUGGAAUCCUGCUUGCAUUGGAUUAGUGACAUUUUAUACACAUGAGUCACUUGUACUUAUUUACUCCUUUAUGAUCUAAACUGAGUAUGCGGGGAGGUCUAUGACUUAUUGAUUUUACUUAUAUAUGCUAUCAACUGUAUUUUUAAGUUAUUAUAUGUUAUUGCUCUACGUGAUUUUGAUAUCUUACCCUUCAGCAUUUGUGACAAAAAGGAGAAAAAUGUGUAACUAAUGGGGAGAGAAUAAGAUGAGCUUAUGUAUAGGAAAAGCGACUUUGCAUUUGCAUGUGCACUGUUUUUGUUGUUUCAUUGACAUUUUGCAUUGCUAUGUUUCAAGAUAGUUGGAGAGAGACAUAGAUACAUUUGUAUUAUUGCAUAAAAUUCGUGAAAGUUUGCAGUAAAGGAAAGUGUUGCAUGACGUUCCAUAUUAUAUCCAUUACUGUUAGAGUUUUGAUGCUUAGUGAAGUUGGUGUUUCGAUUAGUAUUUUGAUUGGCAUCAAUGUCGUGUCUCAAACUAGCAUGUUAAUUUGUGAUUAAAUGCUUUAUUUUUUAUAUUUCCUGUAUCAUGUGCUUUUACACUAUGUAUGUGAGUUUUUUUAUUUCAGGAAACAGGCACAACAAGAAAUGCAAGAUUCGGUGAUUGGAUUUACUGGGUAGUGUAGUUUAGUUUUUGAUUGAUUGUGAUCCCCUGACUUACUUUGUAUAGUUUUGUCACAAAAUGUCAAAGGGAGAGUCUGUUAGGUCUAAUAUCGUAAUUGGCGAUUCUGUGAACAAAAGAGACGAAAUUGAACAUGUUGUAAAAGUCAAGGACUUAGGUUGCAACUAUGUAUAGUUGGGUAUGAUGGAUUAGGGUUUGAUCAUAAUGUUGGAAACAAGAAUAUGACGUCAGAAUCUCACUAGCUUUUCGCCCUAAUAUCUCUCGAGCGUAAAAAAAAAAUACCGGUCGCUCACUUUUCGUCCCCAUUUCGCUCAAGCAAAAGUACAUCGU
rnacentral:lncRNA from 1 species